rnacentral:rRNA from 1 species
AGAGCGAACGCUGGCGGCAGGCCUAACACAUGCAAGUCGAGCGCCCGUAGCAAUACGGGAGCGGCAGACGGGAUAGUAACACGUGGGAACGCGCCCUUCGGUUCGGAAUAACUCAGGGAAACUUGAGCUAAUACCGAAUACGCCCUUACGGGGAAAGAUUUAUUGCCGAAGGAACGGCCCGCGUCCGAUUAGCUAGUUGGUGAGGUAAUGGCUCACCAAGGCUACGAUCGGUAGCUGGUCUGAGAGGAUGACCAGCAUCACUGGGACUGAGACACGGCCCAGACUCCUACGGGAGGCAGCAGUGGGGAAUAUUGGACAAUGGGCGAAAGCCUGAUCCAGCCAUGCCGCGUGGAUGAUGAAGGCCUUAGGGUUGUAAAGCUCUUUGUGCGGGAAGAUAAUGACGGUACCGCAAGAAUAAGCCCGGCUAACUUCGUGCCAGCAGCCGC